AUGAACACGGUACGGGUAUUGGUCUCGUGUGCUGCAAACUUUGGGUGGAAAUUGCACCAGUUAGAUGUCAAGAAUGCCUUCUUACAUGGUGACUUGAAAGAAGAGGUAUACAUGGAGAUACCGCCAGGUUUUGGCACAGAACAGACUACGGGGAAGGUAUGCAGGCUGAAGAAAUCCUUGUAUGGUCUGAAGCAAUCGCCGAGGGCAUGGUUUGAUAGGUUCAGACGAGCUGUUUGGAAUAUGGGGUAUGGCCAAUGUAAUGGUGACCACACGGUGUUUUAUAGACACACUAAUAAGAAGAUCACCAUUGUUGCAGUGUAUGUUGAUGAUAUCAUCAUCACUGGAGAUGAUGAGGAGGAAAUAAAGAGAGUGAAGGGGUGUCUGAGCAAGGAGUUUGAGGUAAAAGACUUAGGAAGUCUAAAGUACUUCCUUGGCAUAGAAGUGGCCCGGAUAGAGAAGGGAAUAUCUUUGUGCCAACGAAAAUACACCUUGAAUCUUUUGAGUGACAUGGGCAUGAUGGGAUGUCAUGCAGCCCCUACUCCAAUUGAACAAAAUCAUCAAGUAACAGCACAAUCAGGUGAGGUAGUGAAUAAGGAAGAUUAUCAGAAGCUGGUUGGGAGGUUAUUGUACUUGUGUCAUACUAGGCCUGACAUUACGUAUGCCGUGGGGGUGGUGAGCAGAUACAUGCAUGAACCAAGGAGAGGGCAUCUUGAUAUUGUUCACAGAAUCCUGAGAUACUUGAAGGGGACUCCGGGUAAAGGGUUGUGGUUUGCGAAGAGUGGACAUCUUGAGGUGGAUGGCUAUAGUGACUCUGAUUGGGCUAGCUGUCAAGAUGAUAGACGAUCAACUUCAGGUUACUGUGUGUUUGUGGGAGGAAAUUUGGUGUCAUGGAGAAACAAGAAACAGAAUGUUGUGUCUAGAUCAACAGCAGAAGCUGAAUAUAGAGCAUUAUCUCAAGGGUUGUGUGAUAUGCUCUGGGUGAAGCACCUACUAUGCAAGUUGAAACUCUUGAGGAAGGGACCCUUAAGGGUGUGGUGUGACAAUCAGUCAGCUAUAGCCAUUGCUAAUAACCCAGUUCAACAUGAUAGGACGAAGCAUGUGGAAAUUGAUCGCUUCUUCAUUAAAGAGAAACUUGAUGCUGGGAUCAUCAGCCUUACUCAUGUCAGCUCUGGGCAGCAGUUUGCAGAUUGCUUGACAAAGGGACUGGGAACAAAGGACUGUAACUUGGCGUGUGACAAGAUGGGGAUGAUAGAUAUCUACCACCCAUAUUGA
rnacentral:rRNA from 1 species